rnacentral:rRNA from 1 species
GACAUAGGUGGCGAACGUUAUCCGGAUUAAUGGGCGUAAAAGGCUCGUUGGCGGCCAACUAAGUCGGAUGUGAAAUCCCCAGGCUUAACCUGGGAACUGCAUCCGAUACUGGAUGGCUUGAAUUCGGGAGAGGGAUGCAGAAUUCCAGGUGUAGCGGUGAAAUGCGUAGAUAUCUGGAGGAAUACCGGUGGCGAAGGCGGCAUCCUGGACCGACAUUGACGCUGAGGAGCGAAAGCUAGGGGAGCAAACGGG